rnacentral:lncRNA from 1 species
AAUAUAUAAAGUGUUGUAUGAAACAGAUCUGUGUUGAGAGAAGCUCUGGUCCGUGUUUCUUCCUAAAAACCGAGGUUUGAGAGCCAGCGCUUUACAACUGAAGAUGAAUAUAAGGAUGAGAAGGCGAAAGGACAAUGCAGAGCUGGUGGGCAAUGUGGAGGCGCAUUAGGUAGUGCUGUCACCUCACAGCAAGAUGGUCACUGUUUCGAGCCUCGGCUGGGUCAGUUGGCAUUUCUGUGUGGAGUUUGCAUGUUCUCCCCGCGUUCGCGUGGGUUUCCUCUGGGUAAGUUGGCAGUUCAUUCUGCGGUGGCAAUCCCAGAUUAAUAAAAGGACUAAGCCAAAAAGAAAAUGAAUGAAUGAAUGAACAUUCAGUAGGCUACAUAACUUUAAAACAGGCACACAAAAGUACAGUACGACACUUGACAGAGUAUCAUCUAUUGAAAAAAAGGUUUUACUAUAUGUUCAAAACAUGAUUCUUAUUUGUUAAUACAUUUGUAAAAGAAUAAUAAUUAUUAGUUAUUGGCAUAAUUAUUGGUAUUCAAUACAUAAGUAAUUCUACAUUUAUCUUGAAGUUUUAUUGUAACAUUCUAAUGUAACAAAAUAAAAUGUAAAAAAAACACUAAAUUGAAUUCAAAAUUAAUUUAAUAUUGUGGUUAUUUUGCAAAGAAAUGUAAAAAAAAAAAAUUAUGCUUUUAUUUCCUAUAUUAAGAAUACAGAUAGUGUCAUAAUCACGUUUAUUUGGAUAAAUGUGUUAACUUGCAGUCUAUAUGUGGAGUAUUAAUACAUUAAAACAAGUUACAUGAACAGAACUGCAGAAAGAAAAUGGCUUAUAAGCAAUACUGAAUCACUGUAGUCAUGGCUUUAUGAUAAAUGUAUCACAUAUGACAUCAAAAAAUAUAUACCAAAAU